CAGACCCCUGCUGCAUGUCCCCUGAUUGCCUGGCUGAGUUCACCUGUGUCUGAUUACACACACACCUGUCCCUGAUUAUUUCUGCUCAGCAUACAGCCUCCUCACUACAUCACAUCUCCUGGUCAGCCUUCCACACCACCAACCCAAACAUCCUCCACCAGAAGCUCAGCCAGUUCACAGUGACUGUCAAUGGAUCAUCAGCUUCCUGACUGACCGGCAGCAACAGAUGACACCACUGUUACUGGUCCUCUCCAGGACAGUGAUGGUUAACUGGUGCUGUCAGAACCACCCAAAACUUGACCCACUAAAGACCGUGGAUAUGACAGUGGACUUCCUCCCCUCACCAUUCUCAACACUGCUACUGUUGAUCAUUUCCACUUCAUAGGAACCACCCUUUCUUGGGACUUGAGCCCUCAAACUUAAACACUCUAUUCUAUGUGUGUAGACAACUCAAGAUGUACAACCUAAUUACUAAAAUUAAUAAAACA